rnacentral:rRNA from 1 species
GAUUAGAUACCCUGGUAGUCCACGCCGUAAACGAUGUCUACUUGGAGGUUGUGGCCUUGAGCCGUGGCUUUCGGAGCUAACGCGUUAAGUAGACCGCCUGGGGAGUACGGUCGCAAGAUUAAAACUCAAAUGAAUUGACGGGGGCCCGCACAAGCGGUGGAGCAUGUGGUUUAAUUCGAUGCAACGCGAAGAACCUUACCUACUCUUGACAUCCAGAGAACU